CCUGGUCUCCACAUCAAAGGGCUCUGGCGUGGGGGUUUUGGCUUUCUGAGGGUCCUCCGGGGGUUGAGAGAGUGCCCGCGGGAGGGCGUGGGGUCUGGAAACAGCGAAGUUCAUCAGAGGGUAAAUCCCAUUCCUGACAUCUUCUAAGAAUUUGUCGAGCUCAAGGAACGAGACCUCUGAGUACCUCCACUGUGCUCCGGGCCGACCCUCACGCCGGAUCUCUGCCAUCACCAUGUUCAGGUCCAGCUCCUUUAUCUUCUCCUCC
rnacentral:lncRNA from 1 species